rnacentral:rRNA from 1 species
UACGGGGGGAGCAAGCGUUGUUCGGAUUUACUGGGCGUAAAGGGCGCGUAGGCGGUCAGCACAAGUCAGUUGUGAAAUCUCCGGGCUUAACUCGGAAAGGUCAACUGAUACUGUGCGACUAGAGUGCAGAAGGGGCAACUGGAAUUCUCGGUGUAGCGGUGAAAUGCGUAGAUAUCGAGAGGAACACCUGCGGCGAAGGCGGGUUGCUGGGCUGACACUGACGUUGAUGCGCGAAAGCCAGGGGAGCGAACGGG